UUGACGGUUAUAUCCGUAUCUUUAAGUGGAGGAAGUUCAAAGUCCGGAAUGUAAUGGACAUGAGGGCUGGAUUUGGAGGGUUUGCAGCUGCUUUGAUCCGCCAGAAACUGGAUUGGUGGGUGAUGAAUGUUGUUCCUAUUAGUGAGCCAAAUACACUACCUGUAAUUUUUGAUCGGGGGCUUCUUGGAGUAGCUCAUGACUGGUGUGAACCCUUUGAUACAUACCCUAGGACGUACGAUCUACUUCAUGCAUCUGGUCUUUUCUCAAAGGAGCAGAACAGGUAUGUCUUUUA